CCUUACCUGGCCUUGACAUACUAAGAACUUUCCAGAGAUGGAUUGGUGCCUUCGGGAACUUAGAUACAGGUGCUGCAUGGCUGUGUCCCCCAGCUCGUGUCGUGAGAUGUUGGGUUAAGUCCCGCAACGAGCGCAACCCUUUUCCUUAUUUGCCAGCGGGUUAAGCCGGGAACUUUAAGGAUACUGCCAGUGACAAACUGGAGGAAGGCGGGGACGACGUCAAGUCAUCAUGGCCCUUACGGCCAGGGCUACACACGUGCUACAAUGGUCGGUACAAAGGGUUGCUACCUCGCGAGAGGAUGCUAAUCUCAAAAAAGCCGAUCGUAGUCCGGAUCGCAGUCUGCAACUCGACUGCGUGAAGUCGGAAUCGCUAGUAAUCGCGGAUCAGAAUGCCGCGGUGAAUACGUUCCCGGGCCUUGUACACACCGCCCGUCACACCAUGGGAGUUUGUUGCACCAGAAGUAGGUAGUCUAACCGCAAGGAGGACGCUUACCACGGUGUGGCCGAUGACUGGGGUGAAGUCGUAACAAGGUAGGCGUAGAUGA
rnacentral:rRNA from 1 species